GGUUGUAGCUCAGUGGUAGAGUGCUUGCCUUGCAUGUGUGAGGAUUGGGUUAGAUCCUCAGCACCG
rnacentral:tRNA from 1 species